rnacentral:sRNA from 1 species
UUUGGAACGGGUUGGGCUGGAAUUGGAC